CCAUUGUGCUGACUGUGGCCAAGUGCUGGGAUCCCUCUCCUCAGGCCUAUUUCACUCUCCCCCGAAAUGAGCCCAUCCAGCCAAUUGACCCUGCUGCCUGGGUGUCCCAUUCCGCGGCUCUGACUGGCACCUUCCCAGCCUAUCCAGGUUCCUCCUCCAUGAGCACCAUUACAUCUGGAUCGUCUUUGCCUGAUGGCUGUGAAGGCCGGGGUCUCUCUGUCCAUACGGACAUGGCAUCGGUGACCAAGGCCAUGGCAGCUCCAGAGUCUGGACUGGAAGUCCGGGACCGCAUGUGGCUCAAGAUCACCAUCCCUAAUGCCUUUCUGGGCUCGGAUGUGGUUGACUGGCUCUACCAUCACGUGGAGGGCUUUCCUGAGCGGCGGGAGGCCCGCAAGUAUGCCAGCGGGCUGCUCAAAGCAGGCCUGAUCCGACACACCGUCAACAAGAUCACCUUCUCUGAGCAGUGCUAUUACGUCUUCGGAGACCUCAGUGGUGGCUGUGAGAGCUGUAAGUCCCCCUGCCCCAACUCUGGGAGUGUGGCUUUGCCUGCCUUGUUCUGCCUCUCCAACCCUAGACCUAGCCCAGAAAUCGCAGCCAGGGCCACCAUGGAUGGUCGAGCAGCGUGUGUCCCGCACUAGGUCCUGCACUGGCCGAGGAUGGGGGCUGACGUCCACCCAUGUGCUGCUGGACAAGCCAUGUGCCAGGUGCAGGACUGUGUCCACCGGGGGAAGGUGCACCUCUUACCUGAGUCCCGCAAAGACGUGGGCUAGUGGCUGUGCCCCUGCCCUCAUGGCAGAAGUAGAUGGGAGUUUCCUGUCAGAGACCCUUGUGAACCCGUUUUGAGCCCCAUCGUGGGUGGGUCUGGGAGAACUGUUCCCAGUUCCUCUCCAUUCGGUGUCUUGGGGCCCUAGCCUCUUGAAGCAGUGAUUUCUUCCUCUC
rnacentral:sRNA from 1 species